UUUACUCAGAACUUUGCUUCCAUUUUCUAGCAUAUCAUUUCCUGAAGAAGAAUUAAUAUAUAAUGACCAAAUGGAGUGCUCCAAUCUGCUUAGUUCUUUUAGUUUUACACUUCAUUCUGCUGAUCUUCUCUGCUGCUGGAUCCAGAAACUUUACUCCCAUUACAGGUUGACGAGAUGGAAGGCAAAUCAAAUCAGGAUUGCGUGUCCUUAAUUUGGCCUGUCACGAUACCAUCAAUAUCAUUAGCCGAGCGAUCUGACUCUUACUUUACUCUCCGUUUUAUUAUUUAUUUUAAAUACUUUAAUGACUUUACUUUAAAUUUUGUAGAAAUCAAUAUCACACUCUGAGGAUAACUAUACAUUUUAGGCUCGUCCGCCUUUAAUAGGACAUCAUUUCUUCAAA